rnacentral:rRNA from 1 species
UACGUAGGGUGCAAGCGUUGUCCGGAAUUAUUGGGCGUGAAGAGCUCGUAGGCGGUUCAGUCGCGUCUGCUGUGAAAACUCGGGGCUUAACUCCGGGCCUGCAGUGGGUACGGGCUGACUAGAGUGCGGUAGGGGAGACUGGAAUUCCUGGUGUAGCGGUGAAAUGCGCAGAUAUCAGGAGGAACACCGGUGGGCGAAGGCGGGUCUCUGGGCCGAUACUGACGCUGGAGGAGCGAAAGCGUGAGGAGCAAACAGG